rnacentral:lncRNA from 1 species
GCAAAUGGAUGGGCUCACACCCUGCUGUGAUGGGUGCCUGGCAUUUGAGUCGGCUGGGCUUCCUGCUUCCCCUGGGCUCUGGGAGUUCACUUUCCUCCAGCGCUUAGUUUCCCAUUAAUGAUUGCUGAGGAAUUGGAGUGAGACUGGGAGAACUUCAAAAGCUCCUUGCCUCUGUGAAUGAGCAGUUUUACGGAGAGUUGUCUAGACUACGACUGGCUACUGGCUCUCUCUGUCAUUGUUUUUCUUGGAGGAAGAUUUAUGUCUCUCAUUGUCUUUUCUUCACCUCUGUCCCUAAUGUACCAACAGCAACCACAGGGAAAACAGCUUUCCCCACAUUUUCCAUGGAAGAGGCUUUGUGGGCGGACUGCUGAGAUUCAGAUUCUAGCUCGGCCAGUCACUAGCUGUGUGACUUCCGGCAAGUUUCUCUAUCACACCAGCUUGCUCACCUGUAAAACGUCUAUGAUGAUAAUACCCAGUCCCUGGAGUCCCAUGGAGAUUAAAUGAGAUUAAAUGUUCAGGGACCAGUGAGGUGGCUCAGCAUCUGCCACUCUGGCCAGACAACCAACGUUUGACCCCCAUAAAGGUGGAAGGAGGUAACACACACCAGGGCUCCUGUGCCCCUCCCUCUUUGUGCACACAUGCACAAUAAUAAUAAUUAUGAAAUUUCAAAACAGAAACAAGAUUAAACAUUAACACUUGCAAAUGCUAACAGAGACUGGGCACACAGUAAGUGUAGUCAGUCUUCCACGUCCAGAGACUACAACCGACGACAGGAGGAGAUGUAUAUCUUUUUAAACUGUGUAUUUGCUUGGUGUUGGGUAAAUAGUUCCUUUAGUUAAGUGUUUUCUGCGUAAGCGUGAGAACCUGAAUUAAAUUCCAUGUGCACACUUAAAACAACAGGCAAGGUGGCACAUGCUUGUAAUCCCAUAGGGAAUCAAAGAUGGUAGGUUCCUGGGGCUCACAGGUCACCCAGCCUAGCCUAAUUGGCAAGCCCUGGGUCCCAGGGAGAGACCAUGCCUCAGAAGACAAGGGCUUCUGAGAUUGAGUCAUGGCUGACCUCUGACGUCCAAAGACUUGAGAGGACAUGUGCAGGACACCUGCGCAUACACAUGCAUUGUUUGUGUGCCCGUGUGUGUGUGUGUGUGUGUGUGUGUGUGUGUGUGUGUGUGUGUGUGUGUUUGCGCUCCCGCAAGUGCAUGGGUGCUUGCUCUCGUGAGUGUGUGCUUUAAACAUAUGCAGUCUCUGUUGUCAUUCCUUAAAGAGAACAGUCUAUUUACUCUGUGCUAUUUGCAGGUUAGCUACAGGUGAUCUAAGGUAUUGAAAAGGAAAUGUGUAAGCCCUGUGCAAAAACUGCACCACAUGGCACAAAGGCUCGAGCACCCCGGACUGGGAGGAAUCUGCUGGAAGGAAGGUUCAACUCUGUAACUGCCAUUGUUGCUGCAAAUGCUCCACAUGGAAACCAAAGUAGCCUUCGAAAAGCUUGCAAACUGCUGAAGCUGAGGGCAUGCUGCCUCAGAGUCCUUGGGAGUUACUAGAAGAGACCAAACAGGUUUGCAGCCUUGGCUUCAGGAAGGUGACUGGAGCCAACAUCAGGAGCACUGAUUGUGGGAAGUUUCCUGGGCUAGAAUUUCUGGGGCAGGAGGAGGCAGGAUAACAAUGAAGAAGAGGAAGUGGGGCCGCCUUGGCCUUGCUGGCUUUUUAUUUUUUUCUCUUUUUUUAAUUAAAAAAAAAUAGAAGUCACCAAAGCAACAUAGGUCCAUUGGGAUACACAGGAAUGUUUAAAGUAGAAAAUAAGUCCUUAAAUGUUCCUCCACCACUAAGACAAAAGGAUGGACCAUCCAGAGACUACCCCACCCAGGAAUCCAUCCCAUAAUCAGCCACCAAACCCAGAUACUAUUGUAUAUGCCAGCAAAAGUUUGCUGAAAGGACCCUGAUAUAGCUGUUUCGUGUGAGGCUAUGCCAGUGCCUGGCAAAUACAGAAGUGGAUGCUCACAGUCAUCUAUAGGAUGGAACACAGGGCCCCAAUGGAGGAGCUAGAGAAAGUACCCAAAGAGCUGAAGGGGUCUGCAACCCUAUAGGUGGAACAACAAUAUGAACUAACCAGUACCCCUGGAGCUCUUGUCUCUAACUGCAUAUGUAGCAGAAGAUGGCCUAGUCAGCCAUCAUUGGGAAGAGAGGCCCCUUGGUCAUGCAAACUUUAUAUGCCCCAGUA